CUUUUAUGACUCUUUAAAUCUACCUGUCAAAAGACAGGGAGAGAGAAGGAAAUGUGAUUGUGGCGAUGGAACCUUGAGGGGCAGGGGAAACAGCAACGCAUUCAACUGGAAGCUUACAGUGUGAAAUGUCAUGAUUAAAAGGUGGGAAGCACUGCCCAGAAAGGAAGUAAAGAAGACAGAAAAGAGAACAUGCAGGAAAAUUAGUUGGCAAGACAGAUCUCAGAGAUGAGCUCAGAAGCAUCACACUUAGCAGAUGUGGAGGGGUAGCAAGAGUCCCAAGUCUCUUCCUCUCACCCUCCCACCUGUGAAGGGAGAUCCAACUAGUUUGAUUUAGACCAAAUCUUCGCACUGCCCCGGAGCCCUUUGGCUUUGGAAGUCUUCUUGCUGGUCUGGCGCUGGUUGGUGCCAGGGGCAGGUUCCCUGAGCUCUGUGAGGUGCUGUUCUGGGUCUUGAGAUGUGGCUGCGGCAGCAGCUGCUGUUGUCACUUUAAUUGUCUUCUUCAGAUUUGCCACCUCACUCUCUAUCUGCUGCUUAAGUGCCAGCUGUUGUUCUUUGUGUUGGUUGGCUCGGCUAACCUGUUCUUCAAUCCCAGACAAGACAACCUCGCAGCCCUGGCACCACUCCUGCAAUGUGCGGGUGAUGGUGCUUAGCUCCUCCCUCCGGAUGUCCCUCCCAAUGCUGUAAUCCACCUCCAGGCGCUGGUUCCGCUGAUCCAAGCUCCCUCGCAGCACAUCUGCGUACACUGCCUCAAUCACGAGGUCCUCCAGUUGCCGGACGUUCUUCAGCUGUAACUGCUCCAGCAACACCGAAUAGGGGAUGCACUUGAUCUUGGCAGCCAGAGUGACGACUGACAGGUGCCUCAGUUUGUUCUUCUGAGCCUCUGUCAGGGGAGGGAGGUUUGCUGCUUCAGCCAGGUAGUCGGCGUAGGUGCCGUAGGCGAAGAUGGUGAGCAGGUGGAAGACGGGAGAGAACUCGGAGUCGGCCAGCUCGCGGACGGCCGGCAUGUCCAGCAGCUCCCCGAAGACGUAGAUGCCCGGGGCCUCCAGCACCUGGUGGAUGAGACUGGCGAGCGCGGCGCCGCGGGCAGCCUUGGCCAGCAGCAGGAACUGCUCCUGGCUCUGCCCCGUCACCUUCCCCUCGGCCGCCAUCCCGCCGCCGCCGUCGCCGCCGGGGACUCGGCCCCGCCGCGAUGGCGUCCCGCAGGCCCCGGCCCCGCCGCCGGGCGCCACCUCCAGCCCGCCCCGAGACCGCUCCUCUAUGGCGGCGACGUCGCAGACCGCCCGCUUCCGGGUGUGACGCCACGCGGGCAGAGCGGCGGGGCGCCCCCCGGCGGCGGAGGACCGCUCGGGCGGGGCGGGGCGGGGCGGGGCGGGCCGGGAGGUCCCGCGGGCAGCUCCCGGUCCUGGCCGGGGGUUCCCGUCCCGGCUUCGCGCCGUUGGGCUCCUCGGAGCUCGGGGCCGGGUCAGAGCUUGGUCUCCACGCCGAGGCCGCCGGCAGGAGGGGAGCGGUGCUGAGAGGCCGAGGUGGAAGUGUGACUUAGAAUGGUGGCGGCCCCGCCACUUGGAUGGCGUGGAAGUCGCUCACCGCUCGCAGUACUGCCACGAGCGCUGUGGCCGGGAUGUGGGGAAGGGCCGUGAUGGUUCUCAGAGAUAGCGAGGCCUGCGGUUCUCCUUACGGCGGGAUCGAAGGAGGAGAAGGGCUGACAAGGUCAAGCAGGGGCUGUGCAGGUGGACUACAGGGCAGCGUCAACGCAAGAUUGUUUUAGGAUAUUAAUGCUUCCAGAAGCCUAAAUAGAUCUAAGCCAUCACCUAUUCCAAAUAAACCUGAAGUCACAUCAAAGACUGACAAGAACAAAACAAGUUUGUGCAGCAAGAUCAGUCUCCUCCAAAUCAGGCUGAUUGGCGUUAGCUGGAGAAUCUCAUAUCAGCUCUUCUCUUGCUUUGCCUAGAAAUUUUCAGGUCUUCUGUUUGCUCUUUACAAAUACCAGCACAGCACCGCUCUUCUCCCGUCUUCUGGGACAUCUGUGAAAUUCCAGAACUUAUUAACAAGUUGUUUUUUGAGCAACAGGACUGAGGAACCUGGCGUCCCUACGGAUUUGUUGCCUGUGUGUUCUAUACUUGCCAUGCCAUCAGCCAAGGUACCUUGAUGACACCCUUUCUGCAAUGCACCACAGCCCCUCGCCUGUAGCCGAUGCCUUGGGCUCCUCCUCCACCACUCUCCAGCACACACAGCUUCCUCGGUAUUUUCUGCUUAAUUUAUUUCAGCCUGCUGGCCAGACUGCUCUGACCAGCAGGGUUUUGCCCAGCAGCAUGGCCAUGGGGUCUCCUCCAGCACAUUCACCAGCAGCAUCUCUGUCUGGCUGCUGGUUCUCCCUCGUACAAGUUGUUGGAGCUUAUUUACCUUUCAGACUCUGCUUCAUUUGUCAAGCCCAGCUGAACGCGGCCCGUGGCAACUGAGAGAUGAGCAGAUGGACUGACGGACAGCAGAGCAACUGCAGGAGCCUCACUGCCCUCAGGACACAAAGCUAAAUCAGAGCAUUAGAGGUCCACUUGGCCUCAGGACUGGUGUAAAUAACCUCUACGUGAUGACUGUGCCAGGCAGAAAUAACAGUCUUGCAUCCUUCUGGGUGUGAUGGUGCAGAAGGUCAGAAGGAGCCCGCCUGGCUGAGGUAGCCCCUUCCAGAGCUUUCUGCCCUCGGCUCCCCCUGGACCCCAACCAUGACAAGUCUCCAGGCAGCACUGUGAUGCCCUGCCCUACCCUCUAGCCGCCCUGAGCAGCGGCGUGCCGGCACGUCCAGCCAGGCACAGUCACUGUCCCGAAUGCGAAAAUCCCAUGGACUCUCCCAAAGGCUUACAAAAGCCCUGAUGGGUGAAAGGUGUGCACGGUCCUGCUCACACGUGUGGGAACUGACGGAGGGCCUGACGGACAGCAGCAGCCCCAGCGCCCUAAGGUGUGUCGGAUGGCACAGCCUGUUCCAGGCAAUGCGCUGCACUCGGGCUGGGUACUGAGUGCCCGUUGGUCACCUGUGUCGGUUCCCGGUGCUGUGGCAGGUUGCUUCAUAGAGCAGCGCCGUCUGUACUAUUUCCUG
rnacentral:lncRNA from 1 species